UACGUAGGGUGCGAGCGUUGUCCGGAAUUACUGGGCGUAAAGAGCUCGUAGGUGGUUUGUCGCGUUGUCCGUGAAAACUCACAACUCAAUUGUGGGCGUGCGGGCGAUACGGGCAGACUGGAGUACUGCAGGGGAGACUGGAAUUCCUGGUGUAGCGGUGGAAUGCGUAGAUAUCAGGAGGAACACCGGUGGCGAAGGCGGGUCUCUGGGCAGUAACUGACGCUGAGGAGCGAAAGCGUGGGGAGCGAACAGG
rnacentral:rRNA from 1 species